rnacentral:rRNA from 1 species
UACGGAGGGUGCGAGCGUUGUCCGGAAUCACUGGGCGUAAAGGGCGCGUAGGCGGCCUGAUAAGUAGGGGGUGAAAUCCUGCGGCUUAACCGCAGGGCUGCCUUCUAAACUGUCAGGCUCGAGCACCGUAGAGGCAGGUGGAAUUCCCGGUGUAGCGGUGGAAUGCGUAGAGAUCGGGAAGAACAUCAGUGGCGAAGGCGGCCUGCUGGGCUGUUGCUGACGCUGAGGCGCGACAGCGUGGGGAGCAAACAGG